ACCAGACUCCUACGGGAGGCAGCAGUGGGGGAUAUUGCACAAUGGGGGGAACCCUGAUGCAGCGACGCCGCGUGGGUGAAGAAGUAUUUCGGUAUGUAAAGCCCUAUCGGCAGGGAAGAAAUUGGACGGUACCUGACUAAGAAGCCCCGGCUAACUACGUGCCAGCAGCCGCGGUAAUACGUAGGGGGCAAGCGUUAUCCGGAUUCACUGGGUGUAAAGGGAGCGUAGACGGCCAUGCAAGCCUGGAGUGAAAGCCCGGGGCCCAACCCCGGGACUGCUCUGGGAACUGUGCGGCUGGAGUGCGGGAGGGGCAGGCGGAAUUCCUGGUGUAGCGGUGAAAUGCGUAGAUAUCAGGAGGAACACCGGCGGCGAAGGCGGCCUGCUGGACCGCGACUGACGUUGAGGCUCGAAAGCGCGGGGAGCAAACAGGAUUAGAUACCCUAGUAAU
rnacentral:rRNA from 1 species